UCACAACUGGGAGAAUAAAAAGCAGUUCAAGGUGACUCCUCUGCUGCCUCACCCUCUCUCUUUGCACCUUGCAGCUAUUACAUGUUCCUUUAGUCUUUGUUCUAGAAGUAUGGAUGAAGAGCAUGAGGAAAUAAUCCUUAAACUGGUGGGGCUUCCUCAUCUCAUGAAGACACAAGUCCUGGAAAGAAAGAAGCUAUGAAGCAUUGACUGAAGAUACUUUGCCUUUUCAGACUGAGAUGUGUGUAAGACAACAGUGUUGGCUGUUCCACAUGUGGGACUGACCUGUUUUGCCUCCUGACAGCAGUAGUGCUGAUGGUGCCAGGGGGAUUUGCAAUUGCACACCAAGCCACAAAGUAUUUCAGAGAUAAAUGAAAUGUUAUUGACAGGUUUUAGUGAAGAAGUAACAGUUAAUGAAAACCUAUGACUCCUACCAUGAGAUCUGAGAUAACGUUAGGAGUGUUAGCAGUGUCUUGUUAUGAGAGAAAAAGUAACAAAACACUGCUAAAAAUCACACAAAUACUGACACUAAGAUUCUGAUGAGUCUUUUAAAUUAGAAUUUAAGAUGAGUAGGUCCUGUAUCAACAUAAUGGGAUCCUAUUAUAUUCAUGGGAUAACUGCUGGAGAUGAGGGACUCUAUCCCUGGAUCAUUGCAACCAAGGAUUAGAAUUGCACAAUAUAUGUGCAAUGGGAAGUACUCAUAUAUCCCAUGAAAAGCCUCGAGCUAACAGCCAGGUUACAGCAAUUGCCUGAAUGAGACGAUUGCUUUGGAAGCCCCUUGUAAACAGAAGUAGGUUUAAGCUGUGUCAGAUGUAGUUCUAUGUUGACUGAUGAUUCAAGGGUUUUUGUAUGCAGAGUGGAGGUGCAGAUCCCAACAGAUAAAGUGAGCCCUGAAUGUGGUAAACUGAAAUUGAUAGCACAUCACAGUGAUUUAAAUUAAUAAUGUGCUGAAAGUCUGGUUUUGCUUACGUUUCAAGAUUUUGACUCUGCCUUCCUUUUUACCUUUGAAGUUAACAUUCACUGCAGAGUGAUCUUUGUUUUCUCCCAAGCGCUUUCAUCCUCUGCCUCAGGCCAUCCCAUGUACAUGGGAGGAGAUUUGUGUGAAAGGUUUUUUCAAAUCCCUCCUUAAAAUUAAUUUCUGCUAUGAAUCUUAUAAGCAAUGAUAAGCUGCUACUGUUUGCUGUGCUGCAUGUGGUGUUCACAUUACUCACCACUUUCAAAAUAAAGGAGCCUAAUGUGCCAGAAGGUAUUACCUUGGUAAGACCAGUUCUGCUUCUGUAGACCUUUGCAGCUGUCUGAGGAUGUCAAAGCAUAAUCUGGCUGUGAAAAUGGUAUUUUAGGGUAAAGAUAAGCCUCUGAGGCUUUGUUGGGACAGUGAGCCCACCAAUUCCUUUCAUGAUAUUGGAAGAAAAAAUGAAUUAAUGUCAGAUCUUGGUAAUUUUUCCCCUUGGUGCCUGAUUCUCCUCCUACUUCACUUUCUAAAGAGUUGCUUUAUUUGACAUGUUUAGAUUCUAGUGUAGUUCCUACAGCAGCUUGUAUGUUGCUGUACGGAUAGACCCAGCCUUGUGGCAUAACAUCUACUGGCAAUCCCUACCCUGCUGAAUUACACCUGUGCUCUGGAGAGACCAGUCCAGCGUUAGGCACAGUGAGCAAGUCCUUUAUUAGAGCCAUGGAACUAAUGCAACCAAGCUGUUACAUCACUGCUUGGGGAUAUUAACCUAAUUCCAAGGGUAGCACACAUAUUUAGCAAGCUGUUGGGCAUUUCUUUGCUGCACACCAGAUGUACCCUUAGAUUCCUACAGGCAGUAUUUACAUUCAGUCCGUAAUUCUCUGCAAGCAAACUUUGAGGGUUUAAUGAGUGCUGCAGGCAGAAGACAAAAAUGUCAAAGACCACCAACUGAAAUGGAUGGCCUGGCUCUGGACUAGACCCAGGAUUACAGCAUCCUCCAGAGUUUAACAUGGCAAUUACUUGGUGAUGCCUACCCAUAGCAGCAGAAAAAGCCAAAGAUUAUGUAUUCUUGAGACCUCAUGAAAAAAGAUACAAUGGUGAUUUUAAAAGUAGGUGAUUUGAUGAUGAUUUUAAAAGUAGGCACAUUAAAUUUAUGCAAAUUGGAUGAAUGGGGGUACUGAUUGGCUUGUUUUUGCAAGCCUCCAGCUGAUAACAAUCAACUAUUGGGUUAAAUUUUUUUAUUGUUAUGUCCAAAAUCCAGUGUGUUGAACAAUCAUACCAUGGGUUGUCUCAUCCCUCUGUCUGGGUUGGCCCAGUGCCACUGUCCUCAGCUGUACAGUGCCAGUUUAUACCAGUUGGGACUCCUGACUAUGAUUUGCUUAUUCAUCAGGUUCCGAGGGGAAAAUAUAAAUAAUACUUAACUUUCUUACUGCUCUUUACAAAAAAAAACCCCAACAACAACCACAAAAACCCCCCAAACAAACAAAAAACCCACAAAAAACCCCAACAAAAAAAAACCCAAACAAAUGAAACACCACCAAAACAAAACACAACCAAAAAACCCCUCAAAAACAAACAAACAAAAAAUUCCCCCCAAAGAGUCUUCAUCUACAUUUAAACAGAAGAGAAAAACUAAAUACUGUUCAAGGUAAAGUACUGAGAUUUUGGUGUCUCAAGGAAAAGGGCAAAAAUCUGAUAUUGUCCCACUAAAAUUGAUACAAACACUAUCACUGGUGGAUGUAGGAGAAAUCUUCAAAGUGUCAUAAAGGCCCUUUAAGAAAGUCAAAUAGCUUUCAGAGGAAUUCAGCAUUUCAUUGCUUCUACCAGUGUUAGCAAUAUAUUGAUUAGUUUUGCUUGCAAAUAAGGGCAGCAGCCAGUUUGGGUCUUCACCACCUACAGAAAUAUCUGCUGUAAGAACUUGCAGAAUGCCCAGCUUUUCUCAAAGCAGUUGCUUUGUAGGGAAUGUGAAAUGGAAUCAGAGGCAGCAUCCUCCUUAUUGUGCCUGUGCUUCCCGGGAAGCGCCUUUCACUGUCUGGUGAGUCAGGCUGCCUGUCAGCCCCCAGCACACCCAGGAGCAGCCAGUCACACAGCACUGUACCCUUCAGAGGCUCGGACUUCCAGCUGGGACUUUGCUGCAUUUAGCUGUGCCAGAACUAUGGGAGAAAUCUUAACCUAGUCAUGUUAAGUAAUCCCUGUAUCCCAUCUCUUACACCACUGAGUAUUGUUUGAACUUACAGAACAAAAAUGUUGUGUACUGCACACAGCAGCCAAAAGCACAACAGACAAUAUCUUUUGUUCCAGGUUUCAAGCAAUUUUGAGUUGUUUUUCGUGCUAUUUAACAAGUGGAUAAAAAUCUUAUCCCGUGGGAGAACAAAACAGGAGCAAAGUCGUUGUACACCCAACCAGCUGUAGAUAACUGAGCCUGCUUGGUGUUGCAUAAGGAAUUAGUGCCAUCUACAGUGUGAAACGGGUCUUGAAGAUGGAAAGCUGUCAGAAGUUUAAACUACACUCAAAGCAAAACAGCAUGGACAAAAAAUUACCUUACAAUUUAAAACUAAAUAAAGACAUCAUAAAAAGCCAGAAGAAAUUAAAUUAAAAGCUUGGCAUGUAUUAAAAUAGCAAUAGAAAAUGUAACAUAUUUUAAUAAAUGUUUUGCUUUUGAAUAUGCUUGAUUCCAGCAUAGAUUCAUGUAUUCAUAUGUUACAGAAUUUUUUUUCUCAUCUAGUUUAUUUUUGCUAUUGUUGAUCUGAGCUUGAAGUAAAUGACAAAAUGCCACCUGGUGCCCUUCUUAAUAAGCUUUAUGUAAUAGCAUGUCAAACCUACUCUGGGUCCUCUGGUGUCAUUGGUAUUACUUACCUUCACUUCAGGAGGAGAUGAUCUGAACUCAGUUAAGUAAAUUCCAUAUUGUGUAGUUUUCCUUGUUAAUGCAGUUAAUCAAAACCUAAGAGCAUGUUGCCCUCUUGAAGUGCUGUGCCCUUGACCAAGGCACAUGACCAUUUGAUUGGGCUUUUGCCUAUUUACAUAGGAAGUUUUUUCCAUUAUCUCUUAUGAGCUGUGUUCAGGCAGUAAACCAAAAGGGGGCAUUUUAUAAUGGUAAACUGAAUGAUUCACUUCUUCCUCCUCUUGUACAGACUCACAGCAAGAGGCCUGAGCCUGAUUGCUCUUCAGCCUUUACAUGCCAUUGAUACCAUUUGGGGUGGAAAAUGAGUUUCUGACAACUAGGUGUGGAGUUAUCCUAAACUCUUACACAAGCUGGCAAUCAGGUUCUGAAAGCAAGAGCAGCAUACCAAUUUCUGCAGCACCUCAGUUCCUAAGUGGAACCUCUAACAAUGAUCUCUGAGAGACACCAAUAGAGAUUGACUUCUCCAUUUGCCACUACUGAUAUUUCUAAAAUUAAAUGGAUUUGAGAAUAGGAACUGAAGAUGCAGGCUGUGAUCUCCAGGUCCCUCACAACUUUCCUCACUGCUCUCCUCUCUCCCCUUUCCUCUUUGCUUGCAUUUCUCCUCAGUAUUUAUAAGCCUUUGCACUUAGAUCCAUUGUUUUCUUAUGUCAGUGAUAUUAUCUCUACUGUACUUAGGGUAAUACAUAAUACUUAGGUAAAUUCAAGAACAUACUUUCUCCUUUUUAUACGUAUUAUGCAUAGCAGACUUAUUAAUUGUUGAAGCAAUACUUCCAGUAAUAUAAUGUACCAGCCAUUCUUUCCAGGAGAUUCUUAAGUGUUUAGAAAUACCCAUUCUCAUUGAGUAGUAUGGAUACUGAUAGAUCCAUGCAGAGAGCCCACACCGAUUGUGAAAAACUUGUUUGAUUUUCUGAGCCUGGGAGCAGUGAGGCAUUGAUUCCUGCCAUCAAAUUUCACUACUUAACCAAGUUGUCUUUGUUAGGAGCAUAAGCUCUCUUAAACUCAGUAGAGGAAGAAAGGAAUAUGCAUUGUAGAUUCAGAUUUUAGGUGCGCACUGGUAGAAAGGGAAGCUCUAUAUUGUUGAAGAAAUCAAAAAUGAUAGAAUUUAUGAUGUCCAUGCUGCUAACUUAGACACCUCGAUAAAGUCUGGGGGAUGAAUUCACUGGAGACAGGAGCUGAAAGGAAGGGCACUAUUAAUGUUUUUUUUUCCUUUAGAAUCAAAACAGCUGUAGAACUAUGAACAAGAGGUCUGUUAUGUCUGUGUUCAAGGACACAAGAAUUAAUCAGCUGUUUUUCUUAGAAGGAUAAUGGUAAAGAAAUACCUGCUUUCAAUUUUUCUUCUGCUCAGGAACAACCUGUAAAAUAUCAAAUACUCAGUAAAUGCUCAAGGCAAAAUGCUCUCUAUAAUUAUAAAUGGUUUGUUUAUAAAAUGUAAAUGGUCUGUUUAUUCAAAACACAGUGAUGACUCCAGUGUUAUUAAGCCUGCUUGGGCAGUGCUCUUGAGCAAUAUGUAUUCCGAUUAUUAACACGCAGCAUCUGAUCCCAGCAUUUGGUUCUUCUCUCUGAUACAUUCCAGAAACUCAGGAAAAACUUUACUCAAGGGAAUGAACUUUUCCUGCCUGGAACGGGAGCGGGACUGAGCUCCCCGUCCCCAGAGGGCGAUGUGCGCCCUGGGGAGAUGGAAAUGCGCAGGUCGCGGCUCGGGGACACGCAGGGUACCCUGCCUGGGGUCCCCUCACCUUGGCCAAGUCCCAUUAAAAAUCCCUUCUCCCCACUUCCAGCCUUUUUUCCAAAGGUGCUUCCCGCACAGCUGAAACAACUGUUCCAUUAAGGUUCAGAAGGAAAGGGUCAUGAAUUUAUGUUAUAACACAUCUAGAUUGUGUCUAUGGCAAAGCGUGUUGUUCUCUAGCUAAAGAAGCAGCUCACAGCAGAAUUGCCACCAAAUCCUCUGUGCUCUACUAUAAUUAUCAUUGGAUUGCUAUUUAUGGAAAAUUAUUACUGAUAUCAGGCACAUUUAUAAAUGUCAAAUGUAUUUCAUUUCAUUGAAAGCAGAUUUUAAAAAUGUCCAAGUAGUAGAAAGAUGAUUUAUUUUCUUCCAAAUAUGAAACUUAUACAGGGUGAGUUAAAAUGUUAGAAAUUUCUCAUUAAAAGAAAAUAAGCCCCAGCCUUCAAAAAACUUACUACACGUAAUUACAGGUACCUCAUUUUCAAAUUAAAUUCUUACAUUUCAACAUAGUUCUACAGGUUAAAUACCACCAUCAGUACAAUUGUCCUAAAUUCAUAUUGCUGUAAGACUCGUGUUUUGAAUUCUUCUGUAUCUUGAUACGUCUUUAAUCUUUUAUGACAGUGAUUGUUCAGAAACUCAUUCAUUCCUACUGAAAUGUUUUCUUCUGUGAAAAUGCCAAGGCAAUCACAAAUAGUUUUUCAAAUAUAAUAUCAACAGAUUUAUUUAUGGGGGUAUUAUUAUAGACAGACCAGGGGAAAAUCCCCACAAAAACCCCAGUGGUUAAAAAUUUUCUCUCCAAUGAUGUCAUUGGAGCAACUUUGCUGGGACUGUGGAUCUGAAGAUUAGUGAUAAUGAGUGAUAAUUUUCAGCGAACUUUUAACCUGUGUUUAAUGCUGUAUGUUCCAGUCUCUUUAAAACAAGGAUUUAAUUUCUAUGUCCAGGGUGGGUUAACAAUUCUCUGUGCAGCAGGCUUGGUUUCCUCAAAAAAAUCUUCCCCAGGCUGUGUUUUACAGUCUCUGAACUUCUUAUCCCCCUUCCCCCUUAUGAAAAGGCUGCCAGCCGGUCUGAGGAAUGCUGUUAUGUUUGUUAGCAACACUUUGUUAUCUGGGUGAGAAAGCUCUUCUGUAACAGACAGAAAACAACCCAAAGUGAACACAAAUACAUGAAUUUUCUCACACUGAGAGAAAUAUCUCCCAGGUGCAAGGUUAGUCUGAGCCGAAACAAUUCUAGAAACAACUUAUUUUCCUCUCUCCCUGCCAAUCUUCCAUUGUUAACUCUUUCAUCCCCACAGAAGAUUUGAUUAAAAAAAUAAGAUUGUAUCUCAUUUUCUUGUGAAUGUUCAGAAAGCUGAAAAAUAAGAGCUGAAUGUGGCAAGAUUAAUGAGAGGCACUGUUGCUAUUGUAGGACAGUGUAUUAUUUCAUUUUAAUACAGGAAUUAAUGCUAAAAUAAUCUGAGCAGGAGACAGAAAGGAGAAUCUCAGUAUAAAUUUAUGAAGUUUCCAGUCCUCACAACUGCAGGGAAAAAGAAAGUCAAUGUAGAGAGCAUGAAACACAAAAGCAAAUACCUGAAAACAAGUAGCAGAACUCAAACCCUCUUAUUUUAAAAUAUAAUGUAUCAUGUAUCUAGGACAAUCUCUUGCUGUUAGAGAGGCUGUCUCAGGCAGUUGGGUUGCUUAGGGUUAUCCACCAUGUGCUUAGCUGCUAUUGCCUCAGCUGAUGAAUAUAAAUCAGUCUUUUGCUUUCUAGUUACUUUAGACACAUCUUUCAGACACAUUUAUUUCUGGAUAAAUUCUGUAUUUGUUACAGACAGGUAGGAUAUUUAGUGUUUGGGGAGAUUUUAUAGGAAAAAAUAACUUGUCUCAUCCUCCAUAAAAUCGAGCAAUUAAAUUUACUGAGAUAAGAAAAUAACACACCAGAUAUGUCUAUUUAAUCACUGAUGCACCACUGUUUGUUUGUGUAGACUUCUAACUCUUUGUUCUUCAUGCCUUGCUAACAUGUUCUGGACAUUGUCACAAGCCCUUGUGCUGAGGCUGUCCCCACCAUCAAUGUGUUGCAGGCUGUCUUGGAAGUGAGCUUCAAGGGUGUACUCUGACGGGAAGCCCAGAGAAGGAUGCUAUGGUUAUCUGAUUCAGGAUUUGAUAGUUAAAAGCAAGAGAAAGCACAGCAAAAAUGAAUAAAAUGCAUUUAGAAAUGAGUAGGGAAUCUAAGAAAUCGCCUGUUUACUGCAGCUGACUAAAAAUCUUCAUGUCUGCAUACAACGGGCAUAGAAUUCAUCUAUCAAAAAUGUCCAUACUGGAAAUAGCUCAGCCCACAGCUGAGGGGAGGAUUAUUUACUUCCCUGCCCCUCCACCUCUGGGUGCACAAGUAGCACAUUUCAAACAGAUAUGCACAGACUGUCAGAUGUCUGAUUGCUGUGGCUGAAAGCUGACUCGCUAUAAAUCAGCCUCAGUUUGCAAGAUGAGCUGCUUAAUCAGGACGGUGCUGGUUCCUGGGCUAACAGCUCCUAAGCCUGGGCUUAGUGCCAGGGCUCUAAGCUCUCCGGUUCUGCAUGCAGAGGAGUAGACAUGUCCAUCUCUGUGCCUGCCCAGCUACUUGUGUGCUUAAAUAAUCUACCAGAAAUGCUGGUAACAUUUUUCUGCCUUUAUCUGUUACCCUAUCACACAUUAUGUUUGAUCUUGAACCCAGGCAGGUGACUUUACAUUUCCCUGCUGUGGAAGGCUGCUUUCUCAGCAGGGAAGCCUCACUGUACACAAGGAUUAAUGAUGGUUUGGGUGGGAUGUGCAGGAAGGAGAUAUUCUCUGCAGUGGAGCAGGGAAGCAUUUUAUUCAAUUUGGUCAUUUAUGGGUCAGUUUCUUGAGUGAAAGUAGUAAGUGAACUGCAAACAGGAACUUCACAGAGUGUGUAAUUGGGGUGCAAGCAAUUUGUUUGGACAUAUACAUAGAGGGGGAAAGACUUUUAAGGCUCUUGUAGAUGGGAGGACAGACAGCUUGCUCACAGCAUCAGCAGCAGAGACAGACUCCUCCCACCCCCUGGGCUCAGCAGUAUAACCCAUUGUGGCCGUGGGAGGUGGCUGCAACCUCGCCAGGUGCUCCUCUCUCGGCCAACAGGCACAAACACACACUCCUGCUGCUGCUGACCAAGGACAGAUGUUGGUGCUUCUAGCACCAGCUUAAAAACUGCUUGACUGUCAAGCAGUCUUCACUGAAGAGAAUUCAGGCUUUGAGCAAUAGAAAAUAACAAAGGACUGAGAAUUCCUGGCAGCAGUAGUCACUCGUUAGUCAAGAUAUCCCAGCUGUGCUCUCUCCGGGCGAAAAUAAUGGGCGCUGUAAUGCAUUGUGGAUCCCGCCUCUGGGGCUGCAGAUCUGCCGGCUGGAGCAGGCGCUGGAUUCACAGCUCCCCACCUGAGGACAAAGUGGGACUGCUGGAGACAAUCAUUGGAUUCUCAGCAGUUUCACUGGCAGUUCUUGGACCAGCUGGAUGGGUCCUGUGUCACCUUUCAAGCUACAAAAACAAAUAGGAAACAUCCUUUCAAAAUGAAGAUCUAAAGGCUACAAUAAACUAUAAUACUCCAAACUUGGACUCUCUUGGAAGUCCCCGUUCCCACACUGUCACCCACCCCUUGGGUCAGGUCCCAGAAAGCCUUUGCAGAUAUUGUAGAGCUGGGCCCAGAUAUCAAAUGGUGUAAUGAUAUAAAAUAGUGGCAGGUCUACUCUGCCAUCACCUGCUGCACUGGGCAAGUCUGGAUCCCUCAUCAGGUGAGAAAUGGAAGACUGAUGAAGUGGACUGUAAACACGCUCAGGUGACCUGCAGUUUGGCUGUUGAAAAACACAUAUAUCACACUAAUUGUUGUUUGACCUUGUGUUUUAGACAAGUAGAACAUCUGUGGCUAGGAAACACAGGUCUGUGGUACACUUAGAGGCACCCUAUCAAACAUGCUUGAGAAUUCUGCCCUCCUGUGGGCAAGAUUAAAGCACAGUGGUGAAUUCUACUUGUGUGAAUCCUUGAAGUACAGGAAAAAACAGCAGGUUUGCUGAUCCUCCAUCAUGGACCAAGCUUUGCACUGACUGUGUUCCCACUUGUGUGCCUCUACUGUCUGCUGCUUUGGUGAUCCCUGGUUGGUAAGGUAACAAAAAUGAGUUUACUCUUUGCCUUUCAUCCAUGGUUUUGUCAUUGUUCCUGCCUCUUCCAGGUACCAUCAAAAGUUUAAAGUAAAUAAAUGGAAAAAAAAACCAGAAAAAAUAUUUUAUAGACAUCUCAGACUAAACCUCUGAGAAUUUAGGACAGUUUUCCUGAGAAUUUCUCUUUAAUCUUUUGUUCCUUUGGUGUGUUCCUCUUCCACCAGGAUAUGUUUUUCUGCAGGUGAUGAUUUUCAGGUAUUUCAAUUUAUUUUCAGUUUUUAGAUUAAGAUUUUUGACCUUUGAGAGAUUUUCCCAUGAUUGCAAUUACUAGGAUAAAUACAAAAAUUGAGAAAAGUACACUAGAUAACAUUUGUUUUGCCAUGUUACAUGUGUAAUAAAAGAAUGUCUUCUACUGAUUUCAUGUCUGUCUUGCAAGAAAAUACAGAAUAUGAACCUUUUGUGAUGCUUAAGGAUUAGUUGUCAUGCUUAAGUAUUAGCAGAAUAUAAUUUGAAAUUCCAUUAAGUCAUUUGUACUAAUAUCAAAACAGAUUCUGCAAGUAGGGCUGUGAAUGUAUGAAGGUGUAUAUUCUUGCUGUACUUCUAAAGUAUGAUUUUCCAAUAAAUUGUCUGCAUUCUCUUCACCCUUGUAACCAUGACUGAAGUUUUCAGAGUGAGAAUGGAAACAUUCAUCCUGAGUGUUUAAAGAAAGUCACACUAGUUUAUUUUUUCCCAAGAAAUGAUAGCUUUGUCACUGAGUUGAACAGUCUGAUGUGAAAGCCCAGUUGUGUAUGUGGAAAGUUUCUCACAGGUUUGAAUGAGUGUUGGAUAUGUGCCUGCAUUCCUGGUAUCCAGAGAAAAAGCAAUGCCAGUAACUGAAAGGCACUUGGACAAGCAAUCUGAACCUUUGCUCCUGCAUGCUGUGAGUGUAUCCUUUGGAAUCAUAAGGCUAUUUUGCAGAAUCUUUUGUAAAAAUCAGCUUUGAACUUUCCAGUGUAUCUGCUUGUCCUGUAUCUGAUUUCAUCAUCCUUCUCUCACCUACUAAUGCUGAAAUAAAUCAGUAAGAUAUUACAUUUCA